rnacentral:lncRNA from 14 species
CGAGGAUGGAAAACAGCCUGGUAGCCAAGUGAAAAGUUUUGCGCAGACAGAGCUGUUGCCAGAUUCCAAGUUGCUGGAUAUAAACAGCUUCUUGGCUCAUCCCACAGCUGCUUGGCCACCGAGCAUCCCUGCCUCCGCGGGGGAUUCGGGCUGCUCUGCACUGCAGCAGGGACACCCGGCGGCUGCGGUCCUUCCUCGUGGUGCUCCUCAUAUCCCAGCGGGAUGCAGGCCAAUCCCAACUGGAUUAGGCAGUGAUGCUCCAAUCUGCCUAACUCCAUUGAAGCAGAAGAAACAUCCCUAAAGGAGGAUCCUCAACCAUCUGCAACUGAGGAUCCACCCUGUGGCAUAUCCUCCGCAGUCACCAUGAACCCAACACUGCUCCUUAUGACCAUUCAGGAUCUUCUUCUUUACAGCCAGGAUGGCUUUUGGAGUUUCAGAGAGCAUUCCCUUGCUCAAUCCUCUCCAGAUUAGCCCCAAAUCUCUGCUUUCUCUUGCAUAAGCCACAUACCUCCAAGAUGACACCACCACCAAUUAGGGAUCAUGUGUUGGCAAUUAAGCACGUUGGUAUCCUUGCGCAAGAAAAUCCAACUCAAAUAUCAAGUGGAGCCCAUUAUAUGGACUAAUUGGCAUGGAGAGGGUGUUAAAAUGGGUCUUUUAACCGUGCGUUAAUCUCCCCGAAGACAAACAGUUUGUUUUCACAGCUUUAUGACUCUCACUCCCACACACAUUGUAGAUUUUGACCCAGAUGAUGGACAGAGUUAUGGGAGAGAACUGUAAAAAAGUAAUUAGGAAUUAUGAAAAACAUAUAUAGCCCUUUUCAGCCUGGUGGAUGAGGCAGUGUGGCCGGUGUCUCGUGAAGAUUUAAUACUCCUGGGCUUUAUUAUCUCUAUCUAACCAUCCAUCCUUAUAAAGCGAUCGCAGGACAGUAUGCUACUGUAAUAGCCCCAAACACGACAGCCUGCAGAAGAGAUAAGGCAGCUCGUGCCCAGCCAAUACUCAAGCAUCGUUUUAUCCUUUAAGCCCAUGUGAAAUGGUCGAUUCUUCAAGGUCAAGGCAUUUGGGGCGAUACCAAAGCUCCAUCAAUCCCCCUGACGUUAACGAGGUGGAAGAGGCAGGCGCUUGGCCAAGCUGCUGUUUGGCUGAGGAUGAGGAGCCAGGCUCUGCACUGGGGUAGCUGAGCUGCAUCCCCAUCACAUGGAGCUGGCACAACCCCUGUGGGGUCCCCCAUGUCGUUGCAUCCACAAUGGGGGCUCACAGCCAACACAUCAACCCUAUUGAGUUGACAACAUGUUGGGUUUGGU